GGCUGUUGGACUUCCUGAGCCAACGGUCAAAGUGGGGUCCCUACGUGUCGAACAUAUGCAUACACAACAGGCUCUCCUCAGGGAUGUUUUGUCCCACAUCCACCACCACACAGGGAUGUGUUUUGUCCCCACUCCACCACAGUCUCUCCUCAGGGAUGUGUUUUGUCCCCACUCCACCACCAACACAGGGAUGUGUUUUUGUCCCCACUCCACCACAGGCUCUCCUCAGGGAUGUUUUUGUCCCCCUCCACCACAGUCUCUCCUCAGGGAUGGUUUUUGUCCCCCCCACCACACACAGGGAUGUGUUUUGUCCCCACUCCACCACAGGCUCUCCUCAGGGAGUUUUUUGUCCCCACUCCACCACAGUCUCUCCUCAGGGAUGUGUUUUUUCCCACACCACCACAGGCUCUCCUCAGGGAUGUUGUUGUGUCUCCACUCCACCCACCAACACAGGGAUGUGUUUUUUGUCCCCACUCCACCACAGGCUCUCCUCAGGGAUGUGUUUUGUCCCCACUCCACCACAGUCUCUCCUCAGGGAUGUGUUGUUCCCACUCCACCACCACCAACACGCCUCUCCUCAGGGAUGUGUUUGUGUCCCCACUCCACCACCAACACAGGGAUUGUGUUUGUCCCCACUCCACCACAGUCUCUCCUCAGGGUGUGUUUUGUCCCCACCCACACCAACCCGUC
rnacentral:lncRNA from 1 species